AUUGAACGCUGGCGGCAGGCCUAACACAUGCAAGUCGAACGAGGGGCGGACGGGUGAGUAAUGUCUGGGAAACUGCCUGAUGGAGGGGGAUAACUACUGGAAACGGUAGCUAAUACCGCAUACCAUCGGAUGUGCCCAGAUGGGACUAGCGAGUAGCUGGGGUAAAGGCUCACCUAGGCCACGAUCCCUAGCUGGUCGGAGAGGGUGACCGGCCACACUGGAAAUGAGACACGGUCCAGACUCCUACGGGAGGCAGCAGUGGGGAAUAUUGCACAAUGGGCGAAAGCCUGAUGCAGCCAUGCCGCGUGUAUGAAGAAGGCCUUCGGGUUGUAAAGUACUUGCAGCGGGGAGGCGUUACCCGCAGAAGAAGCCCCGGCUAACUCCGUGCCAGCCGCCGCGGUAAUAC
rnacentral:rRNA from 1 species